rnacentral:rRNA from 1 species
UACGAAGGUGGCAAGCGUUGUUCGGAAUCAUUGGGCGUAAAGGGCGCGUAGGCGGAUUUAUAAGUCGAUUGUGAAAACCCUGGGCUCAACCUGGGACGUGCAGUCGAAACUGUAAGUCUUGAAUGCUCGAGAGGGUGGUGGAAUUCCUGGAGUAGAAGUGAAAUGCGCAGAUAUCAGGAGGAACACCGGUGGCGAAGGCGGAUCUCUGGGCCAUUACUGACGCUGAGGAGCGAAAGCGUGGGGAGCGAACAGG